rnacentral:rRNA from 1 species
GACGAACGCUGGCGGCGUGCUUAACACAUGCAAGUCGAACGGAAAGGCCCUGCUUUUGUGGGGUGCUCGAGUGGCGAACGGGUGAGUAACUCGUGAGUAACCUGCCCUUGACUUUGGGAUAACUUCAGGAAACUUGGGCUAAUACCGGAUAGGAGCUCCUGCUGCAUGGUGGGGGUUGGAAAGUUUCGGCGGUUGGGGAUGGACUCGCGGCUUAUCAGCUUGUUGGUGGGGUAGUGGCUUACCAAGGCUUUGACGGGUAGCCGGCCUGAGAGGGUGACCGGCCACAUUGGGACUGAGAUACGGCCCAGACUCCUACGGGAGGCAGCAGUGGGGAAUAUUGCACAAUGGGCGGAAGCCUGAUGCAGCAACGCCGCGUGCGGGAUGACGGCCUUCGGGUUGUAAACCGCUUUCGCCUGUGACGAAGCGUGAGUGACGGUAAUGGGUAAAGAAGCACCGGCUAACUACGUG